rnacentral:tRNA from 1 species
CAGGGUGUGGCGCAGUUGGUAGCGCGCUACUUUCGGGAAGUAGAGGUCGGCAGUUCAAGUCUGCUCACCCUGACCA